GAUGAAGAACGUAGCGAAAUGCGAUAAGUAAUGUGAAUUGCAGAAUUCAGUGAAUCAUCGAAUCUUUGAACGCACCUUGCGCCCUUUGGCUAUUCUGAAGGGCAUGCCUGUUUGAGUAUCAUGAACACCUCAACUCUCACGGUUCGCCGUGAUGAGCUUGGACUUUGGGGGUAUUGCUGGCCCACCGCCGGCUCCUCUCAAAUGAAUCAGCUUGCCAGUGUCUGGUGGCAUCACAGGUGUGAUAACUAUCUACGCUUGUGGUUUUCCGCCAGGUAACCUCCAGCGAUGGAGGUUCGCUGGAGCUCACAAACGUCUCUCCUCAGCGAAGACAGCUCUUGAACGUUUGAUCUCAAAUCAGGUAGGACUACCCGCUGAACUUAAGAAUAUCAAUAAGCGGAGGA
rnacentral:misc_RNA from 1 species